CAUCUGCAUCUAACAGCAUCGAGUCAACCAGAAAGAAAAGAAAAAAGAAAAUGACUUAUUUCUGAUCACACCUGUUCCGCUGCUCACAGGCUGCUGCUGCUCACAUUCUUCACAUUUAUUGUCUACUUGUAAAAGUUCAGCAGACAGGUGCUCUGCUUUGGAGUGUGACGAUGUCGUCGGUGAUGUGGAGAGUGAAGUUCCCAUUUCAGCCACAGCGUGCUUUAGGACAGCCGGGUCGAACUUGAUGUUUGAAAUACUGACCGACAGCUCAGAUUUAACUGUCUGUAGUUCCGUUUUGACUUUCACUCAAAGCCGCCAGGAGCUGGGUCUUUAAAAUAACCGCCGUCUUGUUACAGAGUGAAAGUAGCAGUUCCUCCUGAAGGUCAGAGAUUGCAGCAUCUGAGGGCCUCUUCAAAAGAAGACGUAGUUGAUGAAGGCAUUCUGGAGCAGGACCAGAAAGACCACGACCAAGCAGCCUUGAGAUCUUAGGCAGCAUCUCCCUCAGGUCCCUCUCUAUCUCCCCACACAUCCACCAACCACUGGAACACAUCUCCAAAGUUCUGCUGGGCCAGCUCAGCUUCCCCUCAGAAGAAGUGCUGCCACCUGCCAGAUGAAGGAGCCUUUUGAGAGGCAGCUGGCAUCGUGAUUGGACUGUACUUUGGUCUGUUCCAAUCCAGCUUCAGCUCCAGAGACGGCAGGCGGGACGAGUCAAUGGAGGCCGGGUGGACGAAGGCAUGCAGCUGAGUACAAUCCAGAAAACAACAGAGGAGGAGUGCAGCGGCCCAGAGCCAGAACAACCAGAGUAGCAUCGUAUGUCUCUUAGAAAACAUCAUAGUAUAGCCUUUGGUAUGAAAAAACGCCAUCAUAUACAUCGUAUAUUGUACAUAUAACAAGUCAAAGGAAAGAGACAUACAUUGUAGAAUUGUAGUAAUUGUGGGCUGACUGAUUUACUGAUUAUCAGUAUUUUAUUUUUUACUGAUUUACGGUAAUAAAUACAUUUAAAAAUGG